AUUGAACGCUGGCGGCAUGCCUUACACAUGCAAGUCGAACGGUAACGCGGGGCAACCUGGCGACGAGUGGCGAACGGGUGAGUAAUGCAUCGGAACGUGCCCAUUAGUGGGGGAUAGCCCGGCGAAAGCCGGAUUAAUACCGCAUACGACCUACGGGUGAAAGCAGGGGAUCGCAAGACCUUGCGCUAUUGGAGCGGCCGAUGUCAGAUUAGGUUGUUGGUGGGGUAAAAGCCUACCAAGCCGACGAUCUGUAGCUGGUCUGAGAGGACGACCAGCCACACUGGGACUGAGACACGGCCCAGACUCCUACGGGAGGCAGCAGUGGGGAAUUUUGGACAAUGGGCGCAAGCCUGAUCCAGCCAUGCCGCGUGCGGGAAGAAGGCCUGGUU
rnacentral:rRNA from 1 species